rnacentral:lncRNA from 1 species
GUGAAUCUCAUUUUGGUUAGUGUACCUUGUUUCACGUGAUCAUCUACAGUAGAUGAAAAUUUCCGUUAAUAUAGAAUAUUUUAGUAUGCUUGGAACUUUUAUUACAACCUCUAAUUAGAGGCUCUAAUUUUGCACAUUCUUCAUUUGGUUUUUGUGCUUUGUUCCUUUAUCUUUGCUUCAAGUUGACUUAUGCAUAAAUCCACUUUUGCAUAUUCAUUUAUGUGGUUAAUUCAAUUUAUUUCUGGAUUUUCACGUUGCUGUUUCAUAUGCUUUUAAUAUAAACGAAUUCGGAUGUGAAUAAAACUUUUGGACGAGCUGCCUACACAUUUUUGCAUUUAAUUAUUUUCCUAUUUUCAUAUCAGUCAUGUCACUAAAUUGUUAAAUUGCUGGUAACUCUGCAAUUGUUAAAGAUAGAACAUUAUGACUUUUUUUGUCUAUUUAAAAGUUAUAUGGUUUUUAUCUUCGACACUCUUGCAUGUCUGCUCAUUGGCUUUUAGGUAGAAAACUGUACUAACCAUGACAAAGCCUAGAGGUAUGCCCAUAUUUGUUCUUACUGAUCAAGGGGAUAAAGUUUUUCGAUCUCAUGCCCUUCAAUCGGAAACAUUCAUUUGAUUUUACUUUGCUUGUCUGUAGAAGAGGAACUUGAUUGUGUUAAUUUUGCAGUAUGAUUCCGAGUUACUUGAUUGCAUAUUCACAUGCACGUUAACUUGGUUGGGAAGACGAGAAAAAAAUAAUCUUGUACUUGUCUAAUUACUUGAGCUUCUGGCAUUUUUAUGUAUCUUUGCCAGUUAUCAAAUUAUCAUCACUUUGAACAUAUUUGAACAUGAUUAACAAUAAUUUCAAUUUGAUAAGCUAAUUAACUUGUCUACUUUGAUCUUGAACAGAAAACACCAAUUUUGAUUUCGUUAUGGAAUUUUCAUUUUUCAAGGGGUAAAAUCACAACUUAAUUGUUGACCAUUUUCAUCUGAUGCUAGAAAGAAAAUUUUGAAGUUGAUUGUCCUCAAUUUUUUUGUAUCUUAAUCAUUUCAAUCAUUGCAGAUAAAUCAAUUUUAUUCUUCUCUUGUAUCGCUUGAUGUCUUAAUCAAAUUGGACAUUACCAUAGAGCCGGCCUUUUGUUCAGUAUCGGCCGAAUCGCAUACAUUAAUACAUGUACAACUAGAAACAAUCUCUUCUAUGUUGUUAGAAGAAAAUAUUUUCUUAAUUUCUUUGUUCUCUUAAGAUGCU